rnacentral:rRNA from 1 species
UACGUAGGGCGCGAGCGUUGUCCGGAUUUAUUGGGCGUAAAGAGCUCGUAGGCGGCUUGUCGCGUCGUCCGUGAAAACCUGCAGCUCAACUGCAGGCUUGCGGUCGAUACGGGCAGGCUGGAGUUCGGUAGGGGAGACUGGAAUUCCUGGUGUAGCGGUGAAAUGCGCAGAUAUCAGGAGGAACACCGGUGGCGAAGGCGGGUCCCUGGGCCGAUACUGACGCUGAGGAGCGAAAAGCGUGGGGGAGCGAACAGG